UGCUCCCUUCGCCACCUUCAUCGGCAGUUCCAGCUUAAUUUCUCACAACAAAAAACUCAUUUCAUCAAUCACUUCAAAUCAUUUUCUUUUGGGAAAUGGCUUCUAAUGUUAAAGCAUCAACUGCUCUUGUUCUUUCUCUUAACCUUCUUUUCUUUGCUUUUGUAAGCUCUCACAACGUGGAAAACCCCGUUUUUAUUCAUCCCGGAGAUGUGUACCAUAAUGGCAGAAUCACUCAUGGUCAUCCCGGUACAUGCAAUCCCCUAAAUCUCGGUGUAUGCCUUGGCCUGUUGGAUUUGGUGGGUGUUAGUGUCGGAAACGUACCUACAGAACCAUGUUGCAGCGUGAUUCAAGGAUUGGUCGAUCUUGAAGCUGCAGUUUGCCUUUGCACUGCUGUCAGAGCCAAUGUGUUGGGCAUUCCCAUCCACCUUCCUAUUUCAUUGAGCCUCUUACUCAAUAAAUGUGGAAGAGAAGUAGCUACGGAAUACAUUUGCAGCCCUUAAAUAGCCUUCUUCCCCACAUUCUUUGCUUUAAUUGUGUCUUGAAGUUUCCGUUUUCUAUUUGUUCCAUUUUUUAUGUUUCCUUUCUGAUUAAGUCUUUGUAUUGUUGCUCAUGAGUUGAGGACGGCUUUCAACCUUCCCUUUCAUUUUUAUUCUAAAUAAAAUGAGAAUAUUAUUUGAACAAAAAAUCCUAUUUUAUCAUAAUGAGUUGGAAGGGGUGUUUUUAGGGGGAAAAAUCAUAAUUAAUAUUUUCAACAUUAUUUUUAAUGUUAUAUGACUACCAAGUGGAUUUUUUAUUUCAAGGUGUCAAACCAGUGAAUUUAAUAGAAGAAUUUUAACAGCUGUGACUGUUGGACUUGAAUUUCUAUAUUCAUAAAAUACAGAGAUUAGAUUCCUCAAAAUACAAGUAGGAGACUAACCUCCUAAUGCACGAAGCGUACAUAUACUUAGAGCAUAUUUUAACCUCCCAAUCAAUUAAUCAAUCCAACGCGAAGCGUGGAAACCAUACCAGUUAGUGUAAAAAUAUUGAUCGCGUAUUUUUAUAUUUCAAUUUCUUUCCUAAAUACUCAGAUAUACAAAUUUUACUUGAAACUCUAUUCUAAUGUGCAAUGUUAUACAUAAACUUUGAUUUUGUGUAAUUUGGUUUCAUCCAAUUUUUAUAAAUCUCUAACACCAUUAGCAAUGCAACACCAUUUUAUAUGUAUAUGUUGCAUCCACAAAUAUUUAUAUUUAUAUUUAUGUGAUGUAAAAUAAAAUAAAUCGAUGUAUUUAUUUCUUUAAAUACAUAUAGUUGAAUUAAAAUCAAAGUUUCAACUACACAUUUGAACCGCGAUUAAAUUUUCGUGCGCAUAAUUUCACCAAAUUAAAGUCGGUGUAUCAAAGUUCACAUUCAAUCAAAUUUCAUGUACAAUUUUGAGUUUUAUCCCUUUACUUAGAGACCAGCUACAUUACUUAUUUCAAGUGUUUUACUGAGUUGGUGUGUAAUGUGGGUUCCUAUUUAAGCCAUCAAUUAAAGAAAGAAAAAUGCAUGUGUUGAGCCGAGGGACAGAAAACAUAAAAAAUGGUAAAUGCAGUUGUAGCCGUCUAGGUAAGUUUCUCGUUUUUUUUUCUUUUUCCACCUAACUAUUAAAACUUAAAAAAUGGUCAUUCAACUGUUAGACUUCUCUUUUUAUGGUCACCAGCCAUUAAAUGGCUAAUGGGAAGAUGAUGUAGCGGAUUAUAGAAUUGACAUAAAAGAAACUUUAAACCUCAACCUUUAUACACCGUGCCAAAUUAGUGUUGAUUCUAAAAAAUUAACCCUCAAUGUUUUCACAUUGUGUAAUUUGGUCUUCUUCUUCUUUUUCAAACUUUCAAUUCUUUAUGACCCCUUCACUAAAAAGCUAAAAAAGAAUAUAAAUCCAUCAACUAAAUUUGAUCGGAGAUACAACAAAAACACUCGAAAAUCAAAGAUGAUAAUUUUUCAUCUUUUCUUUCUCUCAAAAUUAGCCCUCAAUGUCACAAAUAAAAGUAAAAUUGCGAGAGAGAGAGAGAGAGAGAGAGCUAGAGACCUAAUUACACAACGUUUACAUGUUGAAGGUAAAGAUUUUUGGGAUCAAGACUAUAUUGACACAAUGUAGAAAUGUUCAGGGUUAAAGUUGCUAUUAUGCCAACUGUAAAAGAUGCCAAGUUAUCUUUUUGUUAGUAAUUUAACAGCUGGUGACCAGAAAAGAAAAAUUUGAAUAAUUGGGUGACCAGAAAAGAAAAUCAUGAAUAGUUUGGUGAUCAUUUUGUAACUUUGCGUAGUUGGGUGACCAUAAUAACUCUCAUAUUUAGAGUUAUUUUAGUAUAGUUUUUUUUAUAGAAUUUUAGGGGGUAAAUUGAGCAUUUUGGUUAAAUUUUAGUAUAUUUUAUUUGAGUUUUAUCAUUUUCAGAGUUAGUUUGGAUUCGUGUGCUAUCUUCCUCUCUAUAUUGUAAGUUUUGGAUGAAGAACGGGGGGCAUGGAGCACAGGGUAAAAAAUAGUGAAGAGAAAUCAUCUGCUCCACCAAACUUGAUUCAGUGUGGUGGAGCACAAUCUUCAAUUAAGAAUUUCAGAUAGCAAGCAGCCCACUCCACUGCGAAUUCUACGUCUGGUGGAGCCAAGCGAUUAAUACCCUAAAAAUAGAGGGUGAUGUGAUUAAGCGGAAUAGGAGAGGAAAAUGGGUGAAAAAAAAUAACUUGGAGGCCAAGGAACAAUUCUCUUACACUAAGGGGAGCUUCAACCUUGCAAAGACGAGAAGAAAAAGAGAUCUGGAGCGCUUGGCUUUAGUUCGACGAUUUUUUUUAUCUCUAGAUUAUUUUAUUUUUACUUUUUUUUCAAAGCAAGUUUGUUUUGUGUUUCUUCUUGUGAUGUUUUCCCAACGCAACAAGAACUAAAAUCUAUUUUCUUGGAAUGAUGAUGAAUCAUAUUUUUUAGAUAAUUAAAUAUUUUCUCUUCAACUGUUUCAAUCUCUAUUAAUUAUUUAUUCAGCUUUAUGCUUAUUUACUCUGUUUGUCUGGCCACCAAGUCGUAUUAAUUUGGUGAUCUUGAUUUGUCGUAAAAGAGAAAAAUUAAGGUUUAUGUCUAGACUAAAUAGAUUAGGAUUAACUUUAGUAGCGCUGACGAAUGAGUUAAUUUACAGCUAGGAUAGGAAUAUACCUGAUGCGCAAAUCAACCCAAUAUGCUUUUCCAUAGUGGCGUUGCUCGAUUUGCCUAGCAUAGGAAUAUAGCUGGUGGGGGAGGGGGAUUAACUUAGCUAGAUACUGGGAGGGUCUAGUUAAUGCCACAGAAUCAUAGGUUAAUAAUUGUAUAGACUGAACAAUUGAAUGAGAGAUAAUUGAUUAACUUAAUUAGGUAAAUUAGAGUUCCAAGAUCUUUCAAAAUCGAUUGAGAAACUUAGUAAUUUUCAUUUUUUAUGUAGUUUAAUAAAAUCUCUUUAAUUCCUUUAGUUUAACUUAAGUAGUUAUUAGAAUUUCUUUUCUUGAUCCAGAUUGGAUAAAAUUCGAUAAUUGAUAUUUAGCAGCUUAAAAUUAAAUUUGGUCCUCAUAGGAAGGGCAUCAUCUUAUCACUGUAUUACUUGAUUAAUACGUGCACUUACAUAAUAAAGUUUCCCACAUAAAACCAGAAAAGAAAUUAACUAGUAAUGGAGUGACUACCAAUAUAGUUUACCACACCAUUAGUCCUGUUGAGCAGCUCAAAGAUUUUAACAUAUAUAUAUUUAUGACAGAAAUCUUAAUUAGGCCAUGCAUCUCUGCAAAUAUAAUAUACAUACAUAUAUAUACAUUACUAACAACGUUGUACUCAUGUUACUAAUUAAAUCGAUUAAAGAUGCCUUGUGAUAAAGAUAUCAUCCAUCAUAGACGUGGGAGAAUUUUAUAUAUAUAUAGUUGCCAGCCAAACAGAUACUCCAAGAUCCAAGAUUGUUCAACUAAUCAGACUUCGUGCCUCUCAUUUUCUAGUUCUAAAAAAGCUUCAAAGUUCAUACAUUCCAGCUAUAAAAACCCUUUGCUCCCUUUGCCACCUUUAUCGGUAGUUCCAGCUUAAUUUCUCUAAACAAAACACUCAUUUCAUCAAUCACUUCAAAUCAUUUUCUUUUGGAAAAUGGCUUCUAAUGUUAAAGCAUCAACUGCUAUUGUUCUUUCUCUUAACCUUCUUUUCUUUGCUUUUGUAAGCUCUCACAACGUGGAAAACCCCGUUUUUAUUCAUCACGGAGAUGUGUACCAUAAUGGCAGAAUCACUCAUGGUCAUCCCGGUACAUGCAAUCCCCUAAAUAUCGGUGUAUGCCUUGGCCUGUUGGAUUUGGUGGGUGUUAGUGUCGGAAACGUACCUACAGAACCAUGUUGCAGCGU
rnacentral:lncRNA from 1 species